rnacentral:rRNA from 1 species
UACGAAGGGAGCUAGCGUUGUUCGGAAUCACUGGGCGUAAAGCGCACGUAGGCGGGUUGCUAAGUCAGGGGUGAAAUCCUGGAGCUCAACUCCAGAACUGCCUUUGAUACUGGCGGCCUUGAGUCCGGGAGAGGUGAGUGGAACUGCGAGUGUAGAGGUGAAAUUCGUAGAUAUUCGCAAGAACACCAGUGGCGAAGGCGGCUCACUGGCCCGGUACUGACGCUGAGGUGCGAAAGCGUGGGGAGCAAACAGG